rnacentral:ribozyme from 1 species
UUUACAAUUUAAAUAAAUUGCCGUGGGAGACAGUAAUGUUUCUCUUAUUAUAUAACUAUAUGCGGGAAACUCCUAAAGUCUUUUUAUAGAUUAUUGUGAAAACUUUUAUAUAUAACUGUGUACACAAAACUUAAAAAUUAAAAAGAAUUGAAUUCUAAAGUUGUGGAAACGAUAGAAUGAAAAUGGACAAUCCGCAGGAAACUAAAAAAAAUAAUCUUUUAUUAUUUAAGGGUUCCUCAGAGACUACACGUUAUACCCCCCCCGAGGGUGAAGAGAUAGUCCAGUUAGAACUGAAAAGUUCUA